AACAAACGCUGGCGGCGUGCCUAAUACAUGCAAGUCGAACGGGGAAAGCUUUCGGGUGAGUACUAGUGGCGCACGGGUGAGUAACGCGUGGAUAAUCUGCCUUAGAGUGGGGGAUAACUAGUCGAAAGAUUAGCUAAUACCGCAUAAGACCACAAGAACUGCGGUUCAAGGGGUCAAAGGUUUUUCGCUCUAAGAUGAGUCCGCGUAAGAUUAGCUAGUUGGUAGGGUAACGGCCUACCAAGGCGACGAUCUUUAACUGGUCUGAGAGGAUGAUCAGUCACACUGGAACUGAGAAACGGUCCAGACUCCUACGGGAGGCAGCAGUAGGGAAUAUUGCACAAUGGAGGAAACUCUGAUGCAGCGACGCCGCGUGAGUGAUGAAGGCCUUCGGGUCGUAAAGCUCUGUCGCAGGGGAAUAACACAAUGAAGGUACCCUGUAAGAAAGGAUCGGCUGACUUCGUGCCAGCCGCCGCAGUAAGAC
rnacentral:rRNA from 1 species